rnacentral:rRNA from 1 species
UGCAAGAGUGCAAGUGUAUUUCCAGCCCUAGACGAUUACUCACUGAAGAUAAGCAGGGCUGAGCCUGGUCAGUACCUGGAUGGGAGACCAUUUGGGAUAACUAGGUUGCUUUUGGAA